GACAAACGCUGGCGGCGUACCUAAGACAUGCAAGUCGAACGGGUACGGACCCUUCGGGUGGCGUGCUAGUGGCGGACGGGUGAGUAACGCGUAGGAACCUAUCGCACAGUGGGGAGUACCACGGAGAAACCGGUGUUAAUACCGCAUGUGGUCAGCAAUGACGAAAGCAGCAAUGCGCUGUGUGCGGGGCCUGCGUCCGAUUAGCUCGUUGGUGGGGUAAGGGCCUACCAAGGCGACGACGGUAGCUGGUCUGAGAGGAUGGUCAGCCACACUGGGACU
rnacentral:rRNA from 1 species